rnacentral:tRNA from 1 species
GGAGAGAUGUCCGAGUGGUCGAAGGAGCACGCCUGGAAAGUGUGUAAGCGCCAAAAGCGUUUCCUGGGUUCGAAUCCCAGUCUCUCCG